GAACAGACGAGGAGCUUGCUCCUCUGACGUUAGCGGCGGACGGGUGAGUAACACGUGGAUAACCUACCUAUAAGACUGGGAUAACUUCGGGAAACCGGAGCUAAUACCGGAUAAUAUAUUGAACCGCAUGGUUCAAUAGUGAAAGACGGUUUUGCUGUCACUUAUAGAUGGAUCCGCGCCGCAUUAGCUAGUUGGUAAGGUAACGGCUUACCAAGGCAACGAUGCGUAGCCGACCUGAGAGGGUGAUCGGCCACACUGGAACUGAGACACGGUCCAGACUCCUACGGGAGGCAGCAGUAGGGAAUCUUCCGCAAUGGGCGAAAGCCUGACGGAGCAACGCCGCGUGAGUGAUGAAGGUCUUCGGAUCGUAAAACUCUGUUAUUAGGGAAGAACAAAUGUGUAAGUAACUAUGCACGUCUUGACGGUACCUAAUCAGAAAGCCACGGCUAACUACGUGCCAGCAGCCGCGGUAAUACGUAGGUGGCAAGCGUUAUCCGGAAUUAUUGGGCGUAAAGCGCGCGUAGGCGGUUUUUUAAGUCUGAUGUGAAAGCCCACGGCUCAACCGUGGAGGGUCAUUGGAAACUGGAAAACUUGAGUGCAGAAGAGGAAAGUGGAAUUCCAUGUGUAGCGGUGAAAUGCGCAGAGAUAUGGGGGAACACCAGUGGCGAAGGCGACUUUCUG
rnacentral:rRNA from 1 species